rnacentral:misc_RNA from 1 species
GAUGAAGAACGUAGCGAAAUGCGAUAAGUAAUGUGAAUUGCAGAAUUCAGUGAAUCAUCGAAUCUUUGAACGCACCUUGCGCCCUUUGGCCAUUCCGAAGGGCAUGCCUGUUUGAGUAUCAUGAACACCUCAACUCUUCAUGGUUUUCCAUGAUGAGCUUGGACUUUGGGGGUCUUGCUGGCCUGUGGGUCGGCUCCUCUCAAAUGAAUCAGCUUGCCGGUUUUUGGUGGGCAUCACAGGUGUGAUAACUAUCUACGCUUGUGGUUUUCCACCAGGGUAACCUUCAGCAGUGGAGGUUCACUGGAGCUUACAAAUGUCUCUCCUCUGUGAGGACAGCUCUUUGAACGUUUGAUCUCAAAUCAGGUAGGACUACCCGCUGAACUUAAGCAUAUCAAUAAGCGGAGGA